CAGACACAUACCAAGUUCAGUCAGGGAACUGACUUGUCUGAAAAAGUGAUUAUAUAUUUGGUAAAGAUCAUCUUCAUCAAUAAUGAACUCCCCGAAUAAACGCAUGCACUCAUGCAAGCACCAUUACUGCUGCAAGGGAGAGCAUACCAAAUGUACAUCAGCUUGAGAUACGGGGGAAACAAGCUCACAGCCCCCUUCAUUCAUGCUGUGCAGUGGCUAGAAGCACUAAAAAGCAGUAGACAGUUGCUUUGACUCUGAGGAUGCAAACAUGAAACCAUUUAUCAGCAGCCGUACGCUGCCACAGAGAUUCAAAGAUCCAAGUGCAAACUGGAGACUUCUGGAAAAGGUAGCUCUCCCAGCUGCUAGGAUGUCGAAUUCUAGAGGACAAUGGCCAAAAGGUGGCCUACUGCUAAGCUGCUCUUUCAUAUUUCAUAGAUGCACCAUGUCUUAAGAGUUCAAGAGAACCAAAGACACUUGGAAUUUUUUGCAGAAUUCUAGCAUCUAGAAUUGUUUUAAAUUCUGACCUGACAUAACAUUGUGUUGCUAGAAUUAAUUCUUCAAUACAAAACUGAAAACAUAAUGGAAAUUUCGUUGUUUUGUCUUGUAAGCUUGUCUGGCAUAAAAAGUAAGCCCAGAAAAAGAAGAUAAAAUAAUCUUCCCUAUGACCACUACCAUCAAGAAUGAAGGACAGUUUUUCAGUGUUUACCAGGUCACAGACUACAGUAUCAUGCUUUGCAAGUGGCACAGAUCAGGACAGCAGGUACUGCAGAACCAAAGCAAGAUGUACUACAAAUAUUCCCUGAGAAUAGCUAACAAACUGCUUUAAAGGCCUUUUUAGCAAAGCUGAAAAGCAACACAGGUUCCCAAUAAAGAAAGGCAAAAAGUGGUUAUGCAAGCACAACCAUCUGAAGGAAUGGACAAAUGGGUAUUUCAUUAACUCGACAACUGUAGCAUUUGCUUAGCUAAAAAAAAAAAAUUAAAAAAAAAAAAAAAAAAAAGUUUAGCAACACAU